rnacentral:tRNA from 1 species
AGGCCAUUAGCUCAGGCUGGCUAGAGCGUCGGUCUCCAAAACCGAAAGUCGGGGGUUCGAAUCCCUCAUGGCCUGCCU